rnacentral:rRNA from 1 species
UGUCUUACGUAUGUACUUGUUAAGCCUUUAAGAGAAAAGUUUACAACUUAAGGAAUUAUAACAAAGAAGUAACACAUAAUAAGUUUACCUUAUUUAGUGUGUAUCAAUCGAGUUUCUGACCUAUCAGCUUUUGAUGUUAGGGUAUUGGCCUAACAUGGCUAUGACGGGUAACGGGGAAUUAGAGUUCGAUUCCGGAGAGGGAGCCUGAGAAAUAGCUACCACAUCUAAGGAAGGCAGCAGGCGCGUAAAUUACCCAAUUCUAAAGAAGAGAGGUAGUGACAAGAAAUAACAAUACAAGGCCAUUUCAUGGUUUUGUAAUUGGAAUGAUGGGAAUUUAAAACCUUCCCAAAAUUCAAUUGGAGGGCAAGUCUGGUGCCAGCAGCCGCGGUAAUUCCAGCUCCAAUAGCGUAUAUUAAAAUUGUUGCAGUUAAAACGCUCGUAGUUGAAUUUCAAAGAAUCAAUAUUUUAACUAAUGCUUUUGGUAUAAGAUGCUUAGGCAAUACAACGUAUCUGCUCUUUGCAUUCCUUAUCCAAAAUGUGUUCUUAUUAUAAAAAGGAUUCUUUUUAAAAUCUCCUUUACUUUCUUGUACUGGGGAUUUUGUUACUUUGAGUAAAUUAGAGUGUUCAAAGCAAACAGUUAAAGCAUUUUACUGCGUUUGAAUACUACAGCAUGGAAUAACAAAAUUGAACAAGUCAAAACUCUGUUCCUUUUUCUUAUUUUGGCU